UACGACUACAUAUCAGGCAUAUCAAUAAGCGGAGGAAAAGAAACUAACAAGGAUUCCCCUAGUAACGGCGAGUGAAGCGGGAAGAGCUCAAAUUUGAAAUCUUAAAGGGUUUCCCUUUACGAAUUGUAGUUUAAAGAAGUGUUUUCUGUUGGAGUUUCGGUAAAAGUUCUUUGGAAUAGGACAUCAUAGAGGGUGAGAAUCCCGUAUUUGACCGUUACUUUCCAGCUGUGUGAUACACUUUCAAAGAGUCGGAUUGUUUGGGAAUGCAGUCCAAGAUGGGUGGUAAAUUUCAUCUAAAGCUAAAUAUUGGCGAGAGACCGAUAGCGAACAAGUACCGUGAGGGAAAGAUGAAAAGAACUUUGAAAAGAGAGUUAAACAGUACGUGAAAUUGUCAAAAGGGAAGCGUUUGACACCAGUGUUGUUUAGUUGAAAAUCAAUUCAAUAGUUUUUGAUUUUAAGUUAGUAUUGACUUUAUCAGCUUGCUGCACUUUCUUCUUAGUAACUUAUUUGAAUGCACUUUUCAGUUAACAAGUCAACAUCAAUUUCUUUUGUUGUAAAAAGGGUCAUUAGGAAGGUGGCUUGCGCUUUCGGAUAAAGUGUUUAUAGCCUUUGACUCCUGCAAUCGGAGAGACUGAGGUCUGCAGCGUAGAUCCUUCUGGAUUAGAUUCAUUUGUGCUAAGUUAUAGCUUUUCAUAGACAACUUGUUGACUAUGUUUUAGUCAUUGUAGCUUACUCACUUACUGCUAACUUUACCUACGCUUAGGAUGUUGAUCUCUCACAGUCGAGC
rnacentral:rRNA from 1 species